AAAGUAAUCAUAUAAUUGCAUCGUAUAAUGUUGGGAAUAUGGCCCAAAAGUUUCUACCGAGCCACCGUAAAUGGCUUGACUACGAGGCAGUGUUUUGAAUAA
rfam:Bacillus vireti LMG 21834 contig88, whole genome shotgun sequence.